rnacentral:lncRNA from 1 species
AGAGUGAGAGACUUGUAUAUAUAUAUAUAGAGAGAGAGAGAGAGCUAGGCUUGUGUACUUUUAGAAGUAUUGUGGCCUCUAUCAAGUCGUUUUUAAUGCUGAAAUUUUUGAAUCGACAGUUAGCUCCAUUAAACUUGAUCUAUAGUAUUUGAAAUGACUAGAAAAUAGAUUUCGUAAUUUUUCGAUACCAUUUAUCUAGUAAUCAAAUAUAUAGGUU